GACGAACGCUGGCGGCGUGCUUAACACAUGCAAGUCGAACGGAAAGGCCUGCUUUCCCUUGUGGAUUGCGGGUACUCGAGUGGCGAACGGGUGAGUAACACGUGAGUGAUCUGCCCCCAACUUGGGUAUAAGCCUGGGAAACUGGGUCUAAUUCCCGAUAGGACUGCAGGGUGGUGCCUGUGGUGGAAAACGAUUUUCUAGUGGUUGGGGAUGAGCUCGCGGCCUAUCAGCUUGUUGGUGGGGUAAUGGCCUACCAAGGCGGCGACGGGUAGCCGGCCUGAGAGGGUGGACGGCCACAUUGGGACUGAGAUACGGCCCAGACUCCUACGGGAGGCAGCAGUGGGGAAUAUUGCACAAUGGGCGGAAGCCUGAUGCAGCGACGCCGCGUGGGGGAUGACGGCCUUCGGGGUGUAAACUCCUUUCGACCGCGAGGAAGCCACCUGGUUGGAAGGGUGGUGACGGUAGUGGUAGAAGAAGCACCGGCUAACUACGU
rnacentral:rRNA from 1 species